AAGAGUACGUGAAACCGUUCAGGGGUAAACCUGCGAAACUCGAAUGAACGAACGGAGAGAUUCAUCGUCAUUCCGCGGCGUACGUUUGCGUUAUUCGAUGCUGCCGAUAUCGGUCGGAUGGCACGAUGCGUGUACGUCGACGUUCGCGGACGGCGUGCACUUCUCUCUUAGUAAUGCAUCGCGACCCGUUCUCUUGUCGGUCUAAGCGCCGUUCGGGAGCCCCGUUGUUUGUGUUCACGCACAUGCGGCGGGACCGUGACGGACGCCGACCGGCGGGGGACGGUAGUACGAACGAAUCGCGCACGCGCUCGCGCGCGUCCGGCCCGACGCAAGAUAACGUCGUCGCCGAGCUCCUGCCGUUGUGCGGAUCUCGGUGCGGCGCGUCUGUUGUCGCAGCCGUGCUGUCUCUGACUGUGCGCGUCUCUGUCUGCGAUGAUUCUGUUUCGG
rnacentral:rRNA from 1 species